UUGGGGUAUAGCCAAGUGGUAAGGCAUUAGAUUUUGGUUCUAACAUUCGCAGGUUCGAAUCCUUCUACCCCAGU
rnacentral:tRNA from 1 species